rnacentral:lncRNA from 1 species
CAGGCAUUGGAGCAUGGCUGGGCAUCCAGCCAAAAGCUGGAAGACUUGGAGGAUGAGGUGAGACAGCUCCAGGAGGAGAAGAGAGGCCUGAUAGAACAAAAUCAGCGUCUGGAAAGGGAGCAGCAUGGCCUUCUGGAGGAAGUCACCGGCCUUCAGGAGAUGAACUCAGCGCUGCUCGCUGAGGCCAAGGGAAGAAAAGAGAAUCUGCAGGCACCAGAGGCACAGAAGGAUGCCAUCCUGCAGGUAAGAGGCAUCCGAGCCUUAUCACAUGCUAACAAACCAGCUCC